GAUGAACGCUGGCGGCGUGCCUAAUACAUGCAAGUCGAGCGAACAGAUGAGGAGCUUGCUCCUCUGACGUUAGCGGCGGACGGGUGAGUAACACGUGGAUAACCUACCUAUAAGACUGGGAUAACUUCGGGAAACCGGAGCUAAUACCGGAUAAUAUAUUGAACCGCAUGGUUCAAUAGUGAAAGACGGUUUUGCUGUCACUUAUAGAUGGAUCCGCGCCGCAUUAGCUAGUUGGUAAGGUAACGGCUUACCAAGGCGACGAUGCGUAGCCGACCUGAGAGGGUGAUCGGCCACACUGGAACUGAGACACGGUCCAGACUCCUACGGGAGGCAGCAGUAGGGAAUCUUCCGCAAUGGGCGAAAGCCUGACGGAGCAACGCCGCGUGAGUGAUGAAGGUCUUCGGAUCGUAAAACUCUGUUAUUAGGGAAGAACAAAUGUGUAAGUAACUAUGCACGUCUUGACGGCACCUAAUCAGAAAGCCACGGCUAACUACGUG
rnacentral:rRNA from 1 species